UUGUUUUCCACGACUCCGGCUCCAGCAAGGCGCACGGGCUAGCAAGCUCAAGAAAGGGUGAAACGAUGACUACAAGUCCACAACAACUUGAGCGCAGCAGAAAGAUUGGCUCGCAACUCCGAACACACUCGCACGACAAGCCAUGGUCGAUCCCCAAAUUCAGGCGGAACUGCAGCCGUGACGGGGACACGGGGUUCAAGCUCCUCUGACGGCGUUGGCAGUGCAGAGGCUCUCUUGUCGGAAUCGCCUUGACAGAUGGCGGCCCUGCACCGGUGUCGGGUACGGCGGGAUUGCGGGAAGCAGCGUGCCAUGAACAUCGUCGUGUGCGUGCUGGGAUCUGCAAUUCUGCAACUACAUCAUCAACAGAGGUGGGCGGAGCUCCCGCCGUCCCGCUACCCUCGCGCCGCCGGAGGCAAGUGGAGCUCCCGCCAGCCUCCCGCCAUAGCCGGCAAUCCAAUCUCGUGGAGGAGAUCCAUCGCGGAUGCCUGCUUCCACAGCUCCAGGCCAAGGAGCUCCCGCGGCCGUCCCUCUGCUCUAGGCCAGGGUGCUCCCGCGGCCAUCGCUCUGCUCCAGGCCGCCGGCGCUGAUCCAGGCGAGCUCCAGGCGAGGAAGCUCCUGCUGCCGUCCCUGGUUUCGCCAGCGCCGCCUCCUGCGCCCGCGCCUCCGCCUGCGGUCCUCAAUCACAGAAUUAAAAAAGAAAGCAAUCCAGGAUUAUAAGAAGGAAGGGAGCAAUCUCAGGAUUAGAAGAAGGAAGGGAGAAAUCUGAGGAUUAAAAAAGGAAGGUAGCAAUCUAUUUCUACCCAAAAUGGAAGCUCGGCCCUACAAUUAAGCAUAAUUUCUUUCCAAAUUUGAAAGUUCAAAACAUGAAACUCUAGACAUUAAGAAAGGAAGGGAGCAAUCUAUUUCUGAACCAGAACUUAAUUAAAACAUGGCAUGGCACAGCGAUUACAAUAAACCUGAACCUCAGACUGUUAACUGAAUGACUAGAGUUCUUUUAAUUCUUAAUUCAUUUCAGUUAAAAGUUAAUGGCUGUGCAUUGAAAGAUUUUGAUUGAGAAAAAGAAACAUGAACAUCUUACAUGCCAUUACAGGCGCAAGCUGAAUUCAAUUCAGUUGAAUUAAGUUCACACUCCAUUACAGGCACAACCUAGACAACAUGAGCCAUCUAUUUAGUUCACAUUUGGGAUGAGGUAUGGGAUGUACCUUAACAUGAGGAUUGUCAUUGUAUGGAUUGCGAAGAUGACGAGUCUUCUGAAAUGAUAAUUCACAAAGCUGCAGUGCAAAAACUGUUGUAAACAUAGACAUACCAUGAUGGCAGAACACAGAUUGGACCAAAAUUAAAACAUAUAAUGUCUCCAUGUUGCAUGAUUCUAAUUCAUAACUAUAUGUUACAUUUGUCAGCUCUAAGUUCUUAUAUUCCAUAAUCUGGAAAGGACCAAACAACAAAAGAAGGAGAUAGCAAACACAAACAAGGAAUGGAUAAGAAAAUAUGUACCUGAAGAAAAUAUUUAACUGCAGUUCCUCUUAAUUUUUGAGACAGCAGAAUGUUGUUGCCCAUUUUUUGUCUGCAUUUUUCAGUUCAGUAACUGGAGGUUCUGUUUGGAUGGUGAUGGAAAUUUCAGUGCCAACUCAAAAAUCUGGAGUCGCAGAUUGUUUUGUGAAGAUUCUGUGCUUUGAAAUGGGCAGAUUUUUUUGUUAGAAUUGCAACACAUGCUGCUGUCUCAAACUACUUGACAAUGUUUUCUGAGUAUAUGGCUAACACACUUAGUACUGUAGAAUCAUAAUGUUGUACUCUACCAAUUUUUAAACAAGCCUAGUCAUGCUGUACUCUA